rnacentral:misc_RNA from 1 species
UCAAACUUGGUCAUUUAGAGGAAGUAAAAGUCGUAACAAGGUUUCCGUAGGUGAACCUGCGGAAGGAUCAUUUAUGAGCGAGGGAUUAGUCUUCGGACUAAUACCCAAGCGUAUAUAUAUCCAUUAACAUUGUGAAUUGUUGAUUGGCUUAAUAUAAGCCAUUUACAAAACUAUGUGUAAUGAACGUUAUUAUUUAUAAAUAAAUAAAACUUUCAACAACGGAUCUCUUGGCUCUCGCAUCGAUGAAGAACGCAGC